rnacentral:rRNA from 1 species
UCGUGGGGUGACUUGUCUGCUUAAUUGCGAUAACGAGCGAGACCUUACUCUGCUAAAUAGCCAGGCCGGCUUUGGCCGGUCGCGGGCUUCUUAGAGGGACUGUCGGCGUCUAGCCGACGGAAGUUUGAGGCAAUAACA